CUUUUCUUUUUUUUUUCAGGAUAUAGCAAAUGCAGUUUAAAACAGAAUGACGAGGAAACAAACAAUCUAUGAGGCUGAAACUCCAAUCUAAAACUCAGUGAAUGACCAACUAAUGCUUGUAGAUGGGAUGCGAUUGGCCGAUAAUGGAGGCAGAUGACCCUAAUUAGGGGGUUGGCUGCCAUGGUGGCUCCCCUUCUAUCCCU
rnacentral:lncRNA from 1 species